CCUACGGAGGCUGCAGUAAGGAAUAUUGGUCAAUGGACGCAAGUCUGAACCAGCCAUGCCGCGUGGAGGAUGAAGGUCCUCUGGAUUGUAAACUUCUUUUAUUUGGGAAGAAACUCCCGAUUUCCAUCGGGAUUGACGGUACCAGAUGAAUAAGCACCGGCUAACUCCGUGCCAGCAGCCGCGGUAAUACGGAGGGUGCAAGCGUUAACUGGAUUCACAGGGUUUAAAGGGUGCGUGGUAAGGCAGUUGUGAAAUCUCCGGGCUUAACCCGGAAACUGCCAUGGAUACUAUUUGUCCUGAAUACUCUGGAGGUGAGCGGAAUAUGUCAUGUAGCGGUGAAAUGCUUAGAUAUGACAUAGAACACCCAUUGCGAAGGCAGCUCACUACGGAAAUAUUGACGCUGAGGCACGAAAGCGUGGGGAUCAAACAGGAUUAGAUACCCCGGUAGUC
rnacentral:rRNA from 1 species